GUGGGGAAUAUUGCACAAUGGGCGGAAGCCUGAUGCAGCGACGCCGCGUGGGGGAUGACGGCCUUCGGGUUGUAAACCUCUUUCAGCAGGGAAGAAGCCUCGUUUUGUGUGCGGGGUGACGGUACGUGCAGAAGAAGCACCGGCUAACUACGUGCCAGCAGCCGCGGUAAUACGUAGGGUGCGAGCGUUGUCCGGAAUUAUUGGGCGUAAAGAGCUCGUAGGCGGCGUGUCGCGUCGGAUGUGAAAGCCCGGGGCUUAACCCCGGGUUGGCAUUCGAUACGGGCAGGCUAGAGUUCGGUAGGGGAGACUGGAAUUCCUGGUGUAGCGGUGAAAUGCGCAGAUAUCAGGAGGAACACCGGUGGCGAAGGCGGGUCUCUGGGCCGAUACUGACGCUGAGGAGCGAAAGCGUGGGGAGCGAACAGGAUUAGAAACCCUAGUAGUCC
rnacentral:rRNA from 1 species